UACGUAGGGGGCAAGCGUUGUCCGGAAUCAUUGGGCGUAAGGCGCGUGUAGGCGGUUCGGUAAGUCCGCUGUGAAAGUCGGGGGCUCAACCCUCGAAUGCCGGUGGAUACUGUCGGGCUAGAGUGCGGAAGAGGCGAGUGGAAUUCCCGGUGUAGCGGUGAAAUGCGCAGAUAUCGGGAGGAACACCAGCGGCGAAGGCGGCACUCUGGGCUGGAACUGACGCUGAGGAGCGAAAGCGUGGGUAGCAAACAGG
rnacentral:rRNA from 1 species